rnacentral:lncRNA from 1 species
CCCACCCAGAGAAACGGGAUCUAGAGGUUCCAAACUCCACUGGACUCACCACACCGUGCCAUUCAUCGCCAGCACAGUGGGGACUCUUGGGCAGGCACUCCGCAAGCCUCUGGGGAUCCGAAUAACUGUGUGAAUGGGAACUUCUAUCCAUCCCAGAUUCAUUUUAAGAAGCACAAUCAAGCCAGGCAGUGGUGGUGGAGUGUCAUGGACCUCAUGGCAUGGUGGAGUGUCAUGGACCACAUGGCAUGGUGGAGUGUCAUGGACCACAUGGCAACCAUUUCGGCUUGACAAAGCUCCAGCAUUUGACUUUGCGGAUCACAAUUCUCCAGUCCAAAAAAGUGGGGGGAGUGUUCCCAUGGAAUCUUCACCCCAGCCCCUGACAUCCUUAUACCCAAAGAAUCUGGAAUGUUCUGGUGGAAGUUCCACCCUAAACCCCUUCCUCUGUCUCUCUCUGCAAACCCUGAUGUAUCUCAGAAAGCCUGCUAAAUAAUGACCUCUGCCCCCAGAAAUGCUCAAGACCACCCCCACAAGGUCCUCUUUUUGGUUCCCCCCUGGUGCAUGUGUGACCAACCUAUAAAGCCUCAGAGGGUACCGUGUUAAGAACCAAGCAUCGCGGAACCUUGCACCAAUACUUUCUGGGAAGUUCUCGUGCGUCUCCAGGAGCCUUUACACUCUCAGUUCUCAGUUCUGGUUGGUGACAAGUGGCUUUCUCCACUGCCCUAACCCCACUCGGUGCCUAGUAAGAGAAGCUGAUGAAGUUAAUAUUUCAGCCACACUGGGGGGACAACAGGUAAGAAAUCCAAGCUAAGCAAGAGCAGGCUUAUCACGGCCCAACCACAUGACAAAGCACACUGUAGAGUUUUACGUAUCUAAUCUUCACAGCAACCCUACGAAGCAAGUACUGCGAUCAUUGCUAGUUUGCAGUAGAGAAUGCUGACAUCCCAGAAAACUAAGUGACCUGCCCAGGGUCCCCAGCUAGCCUAUGGCAUUGCUGCUCCAGAGCUAUGUCUGAUGACCAGUGAGGUUCUCUUCUGAGGUUCCCUAACCCAGCCUGUGGUGAUUUGGCCCCAGCCAUGGUCUCCAG